rnacentral:tRNA from 1 species
GGCCGCCUGGCGAAAUGGCAUCGCGUCUGACUACGACUGUGCAUGUUAUCAGGAGAUUGCAGGUUCGACCCCUGCGGUGGUCA